rnacentral:rRNA from 1 species
AUGUGCAGUUUUGCCUCAGGUGCCCAAUCUCGAAAGAUCUCGGAAGCUCAGCCAUGCUGAGCCUGGUUAGUACUUGGUUGGGAGACUGCCUGGGGACACCAGAUAUUGUAGACU